rnacentral:rRNA from 1 species
AUGUAUUCUCUUAACGUUGAUGAUGGUGAUGGCAACUUGCAGUUGUCUGUUACUCAAUCUCAAAGUGUUGAUGGCACUGAGCCUGUUACCCAGGCUGAGGAUGUUCCUAUGCAGUUACAGCUCGAGGAUGAAAGGAUAAGAAAGAAGAAGUAUGAAUUCCAGAAGAGAAAGGAGUUGGAAUGGCGUCAAAAGGCUGCCUGUGUGCAAGAAAGUGAUGUUGAUGUUGCUAAAGCUCCUAAAUGUACAAACUUGAUGCAAACUCGUUUGACGCAAGUGUUUGAUCGUGAUGGAGUUAAGGAGAAGAAAGUUGUUUUGAAGAGGAAGAUGUCAGAUCGAAAUCCUGAUGGCACACAAAGGCGUAGCCCAUGUGUGAAAGCUGGUUCCCAACCUGGUAAUAGCAAAGCUGAUGCGGAUAGUGUUGUUGUAAAAAUUGGUCCAAGCAAACUUGGUGGCUCCCCUGUUCGUCGGAGUCCACGAGGUUUGAUAAAUAAGAAGCCUUCUUCGUCUCCUCUUCAAGAGAGGUCUUUGUUGAAAGAAAAUAGGAAGCGUAAAGUUCAUCCUGCAAAGGUGAACAAAGGUGUGAAGAAGCAUGCUCGUGUCAAAGCUGAAGAUGUUGUAUCUGAAGAAGAUGAUAUUGAAGUUGAUUCAGAAGAUGAAUUUGCAGUGCCUGUUAGUGUUAUGAUCCCGGUCAAGCCGGUGGAAGGCAAUGCCGGAAAAGCUGCCUUGGAUGAAGAUACAUUGACUCUUGACAUGGGUGAGGCUAAUAAGAAGCUUUGCAUCACUAGCGAUCGUAUACAACAAUUAUUUGGUUUCCCUCGUGGUGGUCGUUCUGCGCCAAGGCCGUCAGAGGACGGAUAUGACGACGCUCUGAUGAAGUUAAGCUCGGAGCUUGACAUUAGCAGGAACAAAGAUAUCAAGACAAAUGAUUUGAGGAAUAAGCUCAAGGUACUCGUCAAGGAUCCUAGCAAAGAUGACCUUGCUCUGAAAGUGUUCUUCAUUAUUGUGUUUAUGAAGGUUGUGUUGCCUGGUUCUGCCCCGCGUGUUUCCAGAGAGGUAGCAAUGUUUGAGGGUCUCGUCUUUGAGGACAUGGCUAAUAUGGAUUAUUGCCAGCUGAUGGUUGAUGAGCUUAGAAGGGUUAUUGCCAAGUACCAAGAUGGUGAUACCAUGGGGAAGGCAAUCACAGGCUGUGCCAUAGGGCCUGUACUAAUGUACCUUGACUGCCUUAUCCGUGGCAAGACUACGGAGCCUGACAUGCGAGUCCCCCGCAUAUGUUUCAUGGAUCCUGCCAAGCUUUCUGAUCUGGUUGAUGCAGAUUUGAUAAAACAAGGCAAUGCAGAUCCAAAGACUUGGGUGUUUGGGAAGCUUCCGGUAUGGUUUUUUAGUACUGUUGUUUCAUGUGUGGUUGAACUGAAUAACUUUGUUCAACUAGCCUGUUGUGGAAAACUCAUGAGGAGGUUUUUUCGAGUGCAUAAACGGCCAGUCCUGGAGAUGCCGUCACCUCAGGUUCCGAAGUUUUCAUCUCUGCCCGAUGAGUUGAGGGAUGGCCGUGGUGUUGAGGGUGCUGGUUAUGUCCCCCCUGGCCCUAGUCAUGCUAGUGCUUCACAGAGGCAGGGUUUUGGUAUUGAUGUUGCUGUUUCAGCAUUGGAGCGCACUAAGCAUAUCUUAAGUAAUGUGUGUUCUGAGCUGCAAAAGGUCCCAAAGACAGUUGAGCAUAUGAGCUGUGUCAAUGGUAUCCUUCCUGAAGGCCAUCAAUUUAAUGUUGAGGAAGCUGUUGACUACAUUGAGAUGGAGAUAAUUUUAAUCGGUGAUAUGCGUGAUGGUGCCACUAAUCUAGUUCAGAGCUCGGUUCGUUUGUUGAACAACAUGAAGCGUUUCAGAACUAUGCAAAACUCUCGCUGCAAGGCAUAUGAAGAAAGUGCAAAUGUUGUUAUCAAGCAGUUUGAGCAGGAUGAGGCCGCUGCCACCGACAGCAGGGCUGGUGUUGGUACUGAGGCUAAUGUUUUUGAUCACGAAACGAAUGAUGUUGGCUUGGAGCAUCCUGAUGUUGAUAUUGAUCAGGAUGAGGCUGCUGGCACCGACAGCAGGGCUGAUGAUGGUACUGAGGCUAAUGUUUCUGAUCAGCAUAUGAACGAUGUUUGCUUGCAGCACCCUGUUGUUGAUGGGACCAGUCAUAAUGUUGAGGCUGUUGUUGACCGUGGAGUUAAUGAUCCAUCCACUGAUAAGUGCAAGGGUCCUAUUGUUGGCGAUGAGCCUUGUUUGCCCGUUGGUGAUGUUGCUUUGAAUGUUAGCAGCAGCAAGAUCGAUGAUGUUGCUGUGAAUGCUUCCAAGCUUACUGAUGUUGAGCGUGAGGUUGUCCUUAGUGGUGGAGAUGAUGCUCGUGGUGUUCCACUGAGUAGUAGGCGCAAUGUUGGUAACAAAGUUGCUGAUGAGGAUGAUGGCGCUGCCAGCAUACUUGAUGCCAAAUCACCUGGUGUUGGUAUUGUUGGGAAUGAAAAUGUUCCUAAUUGUGAAGAUUUGCCGCCAGAGAAUUUCCCGCCUGGAGGUCUUGAUUAUGGUGAUGCAUUGCAAGAUGCUUCUAGCGUGGAGGAGGUGUCAUCCGAGGAUAAUUUACUUCUGUCAAUUUCUUCUGACCCCUCGACGCAGGAGGCGCUCUUGUCGUCCCAGGAUUUUCUUUCUACAGACCCUGAAAGCGCAGCAAUAUUGGUGUCCUCUCAAGUUGUCCCAUCGUCAAACCCUGAAACUGGAGGCAUAAUGGUCUCAUCACAGGAACUACCAUCGUCGUCAAACCCUGAUAGUCCAGAAAGUGGUAAUGUUGUUAAGGUUGAUACGUUUUUCUUCGCUGCUACGAGGUUGCGCACGAACCGUACAAAAUGUCACAAGCCGAUGUUUCAAAAUAAAGAAUGUGAUGCCAGUGUUGGUUCUAUUGCUAAAGCGUUUAUCCCCACUGGCAUGCUCAACUCAGACAAUGCUGACAUUGUUUUAUAUUCUCUAUGUCAGAAGUACCGAGACACUGACAAGUUGAUAGUUCCCAGAUGGGUGACGACCAAGAUCCGUGAUGGAAAUAUUGAUUCCAAUGUGCUAAAUUGGUUCACGAGAUCAGGUGAGUGGCUGGAUCUUGGUGAGCAUGACUACAGGUUCUUUGGCAGCCAGUUCUCGGAGCUCGAGCGUGUAGCUAUUGAUCUUAGCCAGGGGCGUUCUCUCGAAAAGACAAGAUCUGGUGUUAUGAAGGGGCGGUUGGGAGCUCUGAGAGGUUCUACGGAUGCUUGUGCAAAGAGCCCUACUACACCCAAGAAUCCCAUUGUGGAAUUGAUAGACAGCGAUGAUGAUGUGUUUGACAAGAUUGCCGGCAUUGGAAGAGUCACGAGGAGCUCCGCUGCCAAAGGUUUAUCUCCCCUUGCUGGAAUAGUGGCUCGUAGAGCUGGUGGUGCUAGGAAAGAUCCUGCUUUGGAUUCUGGCAAUGUUGUAAGCACGAAGCGUGCGCCCAGAGAUCCUAUAAAGUGUUGCUCCCCUAUGCAGCAAGUUCACCCUCAUAAAUUCCCUCUCCUGGACAAGGCUUGCAAGUUGUAUAAUCUGUUGCUUAGUGAUGAAUGGCGUGAGAAGUAUGCUGAGAAUACAUUCUCAAUGAUACCUCAGCCUGAUGAAAGCGUAACUAACUUCACUGAGAAUCGCAUCUGGGAAGUUUUUUCACCUGGUCAAAUGAUGGAGGGUGAUGUAAUGGACUUCCUCAUUGAUGAUUGGAAGCAAGAUCCCAACAGAAAUGCUGAUUUCGCAUCUGGGACAAGGAUAUUGCUGAGUCCAUAUUUCAUCACGGCUAUGCUUGACUGCUCAUUUUACGAUGAUGAAAAUAAAGUGUUUAAUGUGGAGAGUGCAGCGAGAGAUUUCAAGAGCUAUGUUAAAGAUAAGGAAGACUUGCUCAGUGCCGACCUUAUCAUGAUGCCUCUAUUCAAGCCUAUGGUUUUAGCAAAGGAUAAGAAAGUGAACCACUAUUCCUUAUAUGUCAUGAAUCGGUACCAAAGUAGCGUUGACAUCCUUGACUCCUUACCUUAUUCGAAGAAACGCCAUCCUUCAAAGAACACCUACCACAAAGACUGCGAGAAGAUUCCAUGCAUUGUUGAUUGGAACGCUGAGGAUAUUUAUAGAGUUGUGUUCAACCGUAAUAACAAUCUUCUGGUGACGGAGCUUCCCAAGGAGGUUCAGGCUUUGGCUCCUGAUGCAUAG